UACGGGGGGAACAAGCGUUGUUCGGAUUUACUGGGCGUAAAGGGCGCGUAGGCGGCCACCGCAAGUCGGUUGUGAAAUCUCCGGGCUUAACCCGGAAAGGUCAAUCGAUACUGCGGGGCUAGAGUGCAGAAGGGGCAACUGGAAUUCUCGGUGUAGCGGUGAAAUGCGUAGAUAUCGAGAGGAACACCUGCGGCGAAGGCGGGUUGCUGGGCUGACACUGACGCUGAAGCGCGAAAGCUAGGGGAGCGAACGGG
rnacentral:rRNA from 1 species